rnacentral:rRNA from 1 species
UGCAACGCGAAGAACCUUACCAAGGCUUGACAUGUCGCGAAUCUUCUUGAAAGGUCAGAGUGCCUUCGGGAGCGCGAACACAGGUGGUGCAUGGCUGUCGUCAGCUCGUGUCGUGAGUGUUGGGUUAAGUCCCGCAACGAGCGCAACCCUCGUUUUUAGUUGCCAGCAUUAAGUUGGGCAAUCUAGAGAGACUGCCGGUGACAAACCGGAGGAAGGUGGGGAUGACGUCAAGUCAGCAUGCCCCUUACGUCUUGGGCUACACACGUACUACAAUGCUACGGACAGAGGGCAGCAAGCUAGCGAUAGCAAGCUAAUCCCGUAAACCGUGGCUCAGUUCAGAUCGCAGGCUGCAACUCGCCUUCGUGAAGGAGGAAUCGCUAGUAAUUGCAGGUCAGCAUACUGCAGUGAAUUCGUUCCCGGGCCUUGUACACACCGCCCGUCACACCAUGGAGGCUGGCAACGCCCGAAGUCCAUUACUCCAACUUUUCGUGGGGGAGGAU